rnacentral:rRNA from 1 species
UGGGGAAUAUUGCACAAUGGGCGCAAGCCUGAUGCAGCCAUGCCGCGUGUGUGAAGAAGGCCUUCGGGUUGUAAAGCACUUUCAGCGAGGAGGAAGGGUGGUGUGUUAAUAGCACAUUGCAUUGACGUUACUCGCAGAAGAAGCACCGGCUAACUCCGUGCCAGCAGCCGCGGUAAUACGGAGGGUGCAAGCGUUAAUCGGCAUUACUGGGCGUAAAGCGCACGCAGGCGGUUUGUUAAGUCAGAUGUGAAAUCCCCGCGCUUAACGUGGGAACUGCAUUUGAAACUGGCAAGCUAGAGUCUUGUAGAGGGGGGUAGAAUUCCAGGUGUAGCGGUGAAAUGCGUAGAGAUCUGGAGGAAUACCGGUGGCGAAGGCGGCCCCCUGGACAAAGACUGACGCUCAGGUGCGAAAGCGUGGGGAGCAAACA